rnacentral:rRNA from 1 species
GUGUUUCCCCUUUUGGGAUUACCCUCUAAGAAGACUGCCUCGGAUAACGGGGAGGAAGGUGGGGAUGACGGUCAAGUCCGCAUGCUCCUUACGUCUAGGGCUACACACGUCCUACAAUGGGGUCGACAAUGGGAUGCAAUAUCGCAAGAUGGAGCCAAUCCCCAAACGGCCUCUCAGUUCGGAUUGUAGUCUGCAACUCGACUACAUGAAGUUGGAAUCGCUAGUAAUGGCAGAUCAGCAUGCUGCCGUGAAUACGUUCCCGGGUCUU